rnacentral:rRNA from 1 species
CGAGCGAACGGACGAGAAGCUUGCUUCUCUGAUGUUAGCGGCGGACGGGUGAGUAACACGUGGAUAACCUACCUAUAAGACUGGGAUAACUUCGGGAAACCGGAGCUAAUACCGGAUAAUAUUUUGAACCGCAUGGUUCAAAAGUGAAAGACGGUCUUGCUGUCACUUAUAGAUGGAUCCGCGCUGCAUUAGCUAGUUGGUAAGGUAACGGCUUACCAAGGCAACGAUGCAUAGCCGACCUGAGAGGGUGAUCGGCCACACUGGAACUGAGACACGGUCCAGACUCCUACGGGAGGCAGCAGUAGGGAAUCUUCCGCAAUGGGCGAAAGCCUGACGGAGCAACGCCGCGUGAGUGAUGAAGGUCUUCGGAUCGUAAAACUCUGUUAUUAGGGAAGAACAUAUGUGUAAGUAACUGUGCACAUCUUGACGGUACCUAAUCAGAAAGCCACGGCUAACUACGUGCCAGCAGCCGCGGUAAUACGUAGGUGGCAAGCGUUAUCCGGAAUUAUUGGGCGUAAAGCGCGCGUAGGCGGUUUUUUAAGUCUGAUGUGAAAGCCCACGGCUCAACCGUGGAGGGUCAUUGGAAACUGGAAAACUUGAGUGCAGAAGAGGAAAGUGGAAUUCCAUGUGUAGCGGUGAAAUGCGCAGAGAUAUGGAGGAACACCAGUGGCGAAGGCGACUUUCUGGUCUGUAACUGACGCUGAUGUGCGAAAGCGUGGGGAUCAAACAGGAUUA